CGGGGGGCUGUGCGGGCCCCGCACGGGGAAGGCGGCAGCCCCGGGCGCUUUGGGACCCCACGGGCGGCUGUGAGGCCUCCCAGAGGUGGCCGGUGCAGCUGAUCCAGCCCCCCGAGUACUAGUCCCAAUGGAAUGUGAUGGGAGCUUUGCCUGGCAAGGAAUUACUCUGUCCAGUACUGGGUUCUUCAGUACAAGAAAGAAAAGAAGCUACUGGAGAAGGUUCAGAGGAGAGCCAUAAAGAUGAUUAGAGGUCUGGAACAUCUCUCUUAUGAGGAGAGACUACAAGACCUGAGCCUGAAUUGUCUAGAGAUGAGAAGACUGAGAGAGGAUCUCAUCAAUGGCCUAUAAGUAUCUCAAGGGUAGCAAGAAAUUCAAGCACGUGUUGUCUCAGGCAAAUAAAGUAACCUUACAAAUUGCAUUUGAAGGAUUAAUGUCACCUCUGAUGUACCUGGAUCCAGCUCACUACAACCAUCUCACAAAAAGGACCUGCUUGUGCAAGAGAGUGCUAACUCUCUGACAUUACCUGUAUGCACUAAAGAAAAGAUCUCUGACUUCAACACACUUGAGAAAAGGAAGUUUUGGACAAGACAUGCUAGAUGGUGGAAACCUCCUAAAUUAAAGCAUUAGGAAGUCAG